rnacentral:misc_RNA from 1 species
UCCUAGUUAACCUAGGCAGUCUCACUAGAGUCCCCAACUUAAAUGCUGGCAACUAGUGAUAAGGGUUGCGCUCGUUGCGGGACUUAACCCAACACCUCACGGCACGAGCUGACGACAGCCAUGCAGCACCUGUACAAAGACCCUUUCGGGAAAUAACAUUUCUGCUAUCGUCCUCUGUAUGUCAAACCUGGGUAAGGUUCUUCGCGUUGCAUCGAAUUAAACCACAUGCUCCACUGCUUGUGCGGGCCCCCGUCAAUUCUUUUGAGUUUCACCCUUGCGAGCGUACUCCUCAGGCGGUAUACUUAUCGCGUUAGCUACGACACAAUUAGGGUUGAGCCCAAUUACAUCAAGUAUACAUCGUUUACAGCAAGGACUAC